rnacentral:piRNA from 1 species
GAUGAGUGGAGGUUUAGUGCAUG